CCGGCACGGUGAGUAACACGUAUCCAACCUGCCGUCUACUCUUGGCCAGCCUUCUGAAGGAAGAUUAAUCCAGGAUGGCAUCAUGAGUUCACAUGUCCGCAUGAUUAAAGGUAUUUUCCGGUAGACGAUGGGGAUGCGUUCCAUUAGAUAGUAGGCGGGGUAACGGCCCACCUAGUCAACGAUGGAUAGGGGUUCUGAGAGGGAGGUCCCCCACAUUGGAACUGAGACACGGUCCAA
rnacentral:rRNA from 1 species